AACGAACGCUGGCGGCGCGCUUAACACAUGCAAGUCGAACGAGAAGGCGUAGCAAUACGCUUGUACAGUGGCGAACGGGUGAGUAAUACGUGGGCGACCUACCCUCGAGUGGGGAAUAACCCGCCGAAAGGCGGGCUAAUGCCGCGUACGCUUCCAUCUUUAUGGAGGUGGAAGGAAAGCCGUGCUGUGGGCACGGCGCUCAAGGAUGGGCUCACGUCCUAUCAGCUUGUUGGAGGGUAACGGCCUACCAAGGCUCCGACGGGUAGCUGGUCUGAGAGGACGAUCAGCCACACUGGCACUGCGACACGGGCCAGACUCCUACGGGAGCAGCAGUGAGGAAUAUUGCGCAAUGGGCGAAAGCCUGACGCAGC
rnacentral:rRNA from 1 species